rnacentral:piRNA from 1 species
AGCCAAGCCUAGAUGAGCCCUGCCUAGAUC